rnacentral:rRNA from 1 species
GACAGAGGUCCCAAGCGUUAGGCGGAAUCACUGGGCUUAAAGCGUGUGUAGGCGGGCCCGUAAGUGUCUUGUGAAAUCCCACGGCUCAACCGUGGAACUGCUGGGCAUACUGGCGAUCUUGAGCCAGCUAGGGGCAACCGGAACAAACGGUGGAGCGGUGAAAUGCGUAGAUAUCGUUUGGAACGCCAAUGGUGAAAACAGGUUGCUGGGGCUGUGCUGACGCUGAGACACGAAAGCCAGGGGAGCGAACGGGG